rnacentral:rRNA from 1 species
AGUGAACGCUGGCGGCAGGCCUAAUACAUGCAAGUCGAACGGCAGCACAGCAGAGCUUGCUCUGUGGGUGGCGAGUGGCGGACGGGUGAGGAAUACGUGGGAAUCUGCCCAGUCGUGGGGGAUAACGUAGGGAAACUUACGCUAAUACCGCAUGCGCCCUUCGGGGGAAAGCCGGGGACCUUCGGGCCUGGCGCGAUUGGAUGAGCCCACGUCGGAUUAGCUAGUUGGCGGGGUAAAGGCCCACCAAGGCGACGAUCCGUAGCUGGUCUGAGAGGAUGAUCAGCCACACUGGAACUGAGACACGGUCCAGACUCCUACGGGAGGCAGUAGUAGGGAAUAUUGGACAAUGGGCGCAAGCCUGAUCCAGCCAUGCCGCGUGAGUGAAGAAGGCCCUCGGGUUGUAAAGCUCUUUUGUCCGGAAAGAAAAGCGCCGGGUUAAUACCCUGGUGUCCUGACGGUACCGGAAGAAUAAGCACCGGCUAACUUCGUGCCAGCAGCCGCGGUAAAAC